CACUUAUUAUUACUGUGGCAUUUUGCACUCAAGAACCACCAAAAUAUGCAUGAAAAUUCAGUGUGAUGAAUCCAAGCGUUCAGACUUACUUGGCUGUCGGCAUCAGGACAAAAGGAUGCAAAAAUGUAGAACUGCGCUGUUGUGUGCUUUGAAUUUAAUUAGUUCCUUAUUCUGAAAUUAGUUUACAGUGAGAUGAUCCUUAGAAGCGUGUUUGUGAAAGAACAUGAGGGAGACCCGAGUUUGAAAUCUGUAUUCUGCUUCUGACAGGAGCUCUCCAUCUGGCAUCUGGAGUGAUUGAUUUGCCUCAGUACUAUUUCCCAGAAUCUUCUGAUCAGCUUCCUGGGGAGUGUGGGCUCCAUGAUGGACAAAACCCUGCCGUCCUGGAGUCCCGCAGCCCUGGUGACCUAGCGGUGCUGCUGAGGGGCCGCGGAAGGAAAACAUUGCCUAUUGAAUUUGGAGCGUGUCAGGUGAUGUUAGUGGUAAAUGAAACAGCAAAGGGGAAGAUACCCGAGGAGCUCAGCUUAGCACUUGUAUCGACUGUGAAGCAGAAAGCUUGGAAUUUGAUGACAUCCUCCUCCUUCACAACUUUUUCACUGACUCAGAGGAAGCAUAACACGGGAACGAACACAGUAGCCCGAGGGGAAGCUUGACGUCGGUGAGCAGAGGGCAGCGAUUACGAGCCCUGCCGGACGCCGAGGCGGCUGCCACCCACGGGCCAGAAAUCCCUCAGAAGUGUCAUCACACCACGUCCUGGCGGGAAGCCUAACUAUUGUCACCCUACUCCUCGUUAGUAUAGUGGACAGACCCAUUCAUGCUGUCGAGUGAGCUAUUCGUAUUGAUGAAAACAAGCAAAACCAGAUCAUCCCAGCCAUGAAAUCAAAAGGCAGGACCGUGCUGUGCCACCAGGUGAGAAGGGACACAUCCUGUGUUGGCAGUGGGAUGAAGCUAUAUGGUGUGACCAGGACUGCCAUCAUGGUUAAGGGGUAGCAGGCAAAGGUCAGUUAUCCUAGUGGAGGGAGAUCACACAUGGGGUCUUACAAAAUUCAUGAUAGGGCAUAUGCUACUCAGCACCUCUAAAAGCAACCUAAAAAGGGGCACAAACAGUAUGUGAAGUUUGCUGAUAUUGCAAGAUUAAGCUAGAUUGGAUAAAACCUAAAAAGGCAGUUGGAAAGAGUUAAUAUCCAUCCAAGCAACUGAACAAUAAAAUGGGAGGUGAAAUUCACUGUUCAUUGAUCUAAAGUGAUGCACACAGAAGAAAAGUUACAUACGUGGUGAGAGACUGAGUUGACUUUUAUUGCCCAGAAGAGAUCUUGGCAUUGUACCAACUCUAUGAAAAAGCCAGCUCAAUCCUUAGCAUCAGUCAAAACCAGCAAACAGCAUAUUAGAAUUAUGAAAAGAACAAUGAACUGAAACAUAGCUAUGCCACUGUCAGCAGCACACCUGCAUAUUGGAUACACAUGUAUGGCUUAUGUUGUCUGGUCCUUAUCGCCAGUUCAGAAAGGGCAUAGAAAACUUAAGCCUAGAGAAAAGUGGCAAAUGUGAUCAAAGGUUUGGAACAGCUACUGUACAAAGACUGAAAAGAGCAGGACUUGUCAGCCAGGAAAACUGACAAUGAAAAAAACGGAAGCCGGUAAAAUAAGAACUGUUACAGAGAAAAUAAACGUGAAGAAAAGCUGGUUACUCACUGAAAAGUUCAAUGAAGUAAUCAGGUGUGAGCAGGAAACAAAGAGGCACUUUUUCACAAUACACACAGUUAAACCACAGAACUUCCUUGCCACAGGCUCGUCAGGACUGCCAUAAGCUCGUACGAUUUAAAAAAGCUACU